AUCUAGGUCUCUCCUCCCUGUGAGGAGGAGUCAAUGCAAAACUCAGAUGUCUUCCACCUCUACUUAUCUGACUGCAGAGAGGACGACAGAGAACAGUGGACACACAGUUUGACAUGAUGGACUAUAGGACAGGACUGCUGCUUUUAACUCUCUGCUGGGCAGGUGUUGAUGGUCAGACUCUGACAGAAUCUGAACCAGUGGUUAAAAGGCCUGGAGAAUCUCACAGAUUGACCUGUACAGCCUCUGGAUUCACAUUCAGCAGCUACGAGAUGCACUGGGUCAGACAGGCUCCUGGAAAAGGACUGGAGUGGAUCGCUUAUAUAGACACAGGCAGUUCGAAUAUCUAUUACUCCCAGUCAGUCCAGGGUAGAUUCACCAUCUCCAGAGACGACUCCAGCAGUAAAGUCUAUCUACAGAUGAACAGUCUGAAGACCGAGGACACAGCAGUGUAUUACUGUGCCAGAGAGACACAGCGAGAGACAAUAAUAGGAGAGUCAUACAAAAACUACUUCCUCUAUUUACUACCACCUCUGGGGACACUCACUUUCUUCAGUAUCACUUUUUUUUUGCAAUUGAUCUGUACAGCCUCUGGAUUCACAUUAAGCAGCCACAUCAUGCACUGGGUCAGACAGGCUCCUGGAAAAGGACUGGAGUGGGUUGCACUUAUCAACUAUAACAGUGCUGAGAUCUACUACUCUCAGUCAGUCAAAGGCCGGUUUACCAUCUCCAGAGACAACAGCAGACAGCAGCUGUAUCUGCAGAUGAACAGUCUGAAGACUGAAGAUUCUGCUGUUUAUUAUUGUGCUCGAGAGCCACAGUGACUGGAGUUUGUUUAGCAGUUGUACAAAAUCCUACAGGACACAUGUUUACCACAGUUAUCUCACAUGAUUAAUGUCAUUGUUGAAGAAAAUUAUACAAUACAUUUAGAUAUAACAAUUCAUAGCAAAAACAGAAAAUAUUUUGUACCUGAUUAACAUUUUUUUUUAUUGCAGGAACUUGAGUGGGUUAUGAGAUGCCCAUCAUUAAUAAACUAUUAAAAUAUAAAUUACAGUUUUGUUUAGUUUUAUGUUUUGUUAAUUCAUAUUUAAUAUGGAAUGAAUGUUUGACGAAUGGUUGUGCAGCCUGGACAGUCUUUGACCAUCACCUGUCAGGCCUCUGGUUAUUCUCUGACCGAACAGUGUCUCUAAAAGGACAGAAUCUGCAGCCUGAGGACACAGCUGUGUAUUACUGUGUACAUCAGCCCACAGUGAUACAAACCACCAACAGACCUGCACAAAUACUCAGCAACCAGCAAGACUCAACCACACACAUGUGAACGUUAAUGAAGACAUUACUCUCUGAUGAGCUGAUCAUGUCGAUGAAUGUUUAUGGAAUUCACUGAAUGGUGGAGGACAUUUUUUGUCACUGAGAGACAGAGGAAGAUGAGGCUGAGACAAAGAUGCACUUCCUCUACAAUGUACAGCAUUCAAUGAAAUAAGGAACGUUUACUUUAACAAGUGCAACUCUGUAA